rfam:Populus trichocarpa isolate Nisqually-1 chromosome 6, whole genome shotgun sequence.
AGGGGAUCAAUGAUUUUACUUUGAAAAAACUGCGUUAUCUUCCUGAAUGGGAAAUAUUGGAGAUCCCAACUGUAUAUAACACUCUGGGAUCCUUU